AAAAAGAACAAACAUUAAUUAUUUGGCAGCUGCCCAAGAGAAGACUACAUUGGUUACAGCAAAGUUGGCUGAAAUCACAAGCAUUUUCAUGUGAGAUCAUUUAUAUUGGCCUAUCAGACAAAGCAAGUACAUUCUCAUUUCUUGUAUAAUACAUAUUAUUGUUACCUAAAGUAAGCAACUUAUUUCCAUGCUUCUGAGAAACAAAGUGGUUCUGAAUAAGAAUCCACUUCCCCAAAAGUCUCUGUAGCACCUUUAGCACCACGGCGCAGUUGGGCAGCUCGGGCCAACACCGGAGACAACAAGAACUCUUAUUGAAAUAAAUUAUUUGGUAAAAAAAAACAAGUAAAGGGUUAUAUAUGCAGCCAUAAUUCUAAUUAUAUUGGAUCUAUGUCUAUUCAGUAGAUACUCAAGAAAAAUAUUUGCAUAACAAAAAUAGUGUACAGAUAUCAGAAAUUUCAAUAUAUGUCAGUGAAAUGUAAAUAGUCUCUCGGUUACUAUUAUUAAAUACCAAAACACCAACAGAGAACAAUAACCACCCAUUCAAAUCUAACAAUUACAUUUACAACAUCCCAAAGAAAUUAAUUCUAUCCUUGCACAUUUGAGAAGAACCAUUUAGUAGUAUGCGUAUCUGACAGCUCACAAAAGGAACUACUAGAUAUGGUUUAAUCUCUGAAUAAUAGGCAUAAUAUUUAGAUUAGAAAUUAACAUUUACCAAAAUGGGCUGAAUAAGCAAUUCAAUAAAUGCAAUUUUUUCCCCCUAAUUAGAGAAAAUCCAGCCAUUGGCAAAAGAGAAUUUGAUCGAUUUGUCUUUGAUCCAUGCUAAUGUUUAUGGUUACAACUUAGGUGCCUGAAUUAUUCAAUUUGGUGGCAUCCGUCGGUCUCGACAGACCAUGGAUCUGCGCCUGGAGUUUCCAGGGCGCAGGCCUGGGCAGGGUUAUAUGGGAGACCGGCAGUUGCCCAAGCUGCAGGCUUUCCCCUCUCCACGCCACCAAUGUUGUCCAAGGGAAGGGCACUAGGACCCAAGCAGCUUGGCACCGGUGACGUCGCAGAGCAAUGUGUUGUUAAGUGCCUUGCUCAAGGACACAAACAGGCUGCCUCAGCUGAGGCUCGAACCAGUGACCUUCAGGUUACUAGUCUGAUGCUUUGCCCACACGCCAACACAUAAUUAUUCAAUUACAAAUAACGAAAGAACAUUCCAUCUUAAUGUAGAAAACUCUUGAGUAGAAAAUGGAAAAUGUUAAUUCUUUAAUAAUGACAACCUUAUUCUUAUUGCUAGUAAUGUUUAGUUAGUCAUAGGAGUUCUAUUUACUGGUUUCGCAGACAUGGAGAGGCCACAGCCAGUUCAGAUUAAAGAUCUUGACCUGAAAUGUUGACUAUCCAUUUCCCUGCACAGAAUCUGCCUGACCGACUGAAUUUCUCCAGCAGUUUGCCCCAAAAGGUGUUUUGUUCACUGACAGCAACAACAGAUCACUCAGCAUCAAGAUGCUGAGAGACACAUUUUGACUAACGAUCGAAAAGUAUUGGUUUCAGACAGAGAUUCCUGAAAAGAACAGGACACACAGGUAAAGAAAAGUUUCUUUAUUUUCUGUAAUAGAUUAACAACCAAAUGAAUUAACAGUGCAGACAGGGGAGUGAUUCUUUUUAGAAAAAAUGUUAUUGCCGUUAACCUGAAACAACGCUCAGAUUGAAGAAAAAAGCUAGCAGUUCUGUGUUAAGUUCAUUACUUAGCAGAAAUCCAGAACUUUCUCACAGAUGAUCGCCAUUUUUAGUCUGACAGAGGAUUCCUUGUGGGCCAGUAGUGAAGCAACUUGUACACUUGUACAGGAACAUGGAUGGGAAAGAGAGGGAUGAGAGGGAUACGGGCCAAAUGUGAGCAAAUAGGACCAACUUAGAUGAGCACCUUGGUUGGCAUGGAUAUGUUAUGUCUUACAGUGUCUGAAUCUGCAGUGCCAACAGCUUCAUUCACUUCAACUGAUGAAGUAACAGCCAUGAGGAAGGGAGAAAACUUCAGCCCAGCGGCAGCGGUUGGUGCAGUACGGACAAGACAAGUGUCAUCCAUUCCACCUGCUGAGGGAGCUCUCCGUCAUAAUUCUGACAGAGGUGCACAUUCCACCUCUGGCAGAUGUCAGCUUGGCACUGGAGGAGCGUCUGGCAAUCCUUCAGAGGCCAAAAUCUGAGCAUUCUUCAAGACAGUGAACCCUCGCAAGUUAUCAGGCCCUGGCAAUGUGUCUGGCUGGAGUAUUCAAGGACAUCUUCAAUCUCUCUCUGCUGUGAUCUAAGGUUCCCACUUGCUUCAAAAGGGAGGCAAUCAUUCAAUCAUCCAAGAAGAGCAGGGUGAGCAGAUGCGAUGACUAUCACCAGGUAGCUCCUACAUCUAGCGCAAUGAAGUGCUUUGGGAGAUUGAUCGUGGCUGAGUGAACCCCUGCCUAAGCAAGAACCUGGACCUGCUGCAAUUCACCUUUUGCUACAAAGCAUCUACAAUGGAUGCAGUCUUACCGGCUCUCCACUAUGUUCAAGCACCUAUACAACUGGAAGACACCAGACCGGCUGCUGUUUACCGAUUACAGACUGUUUUCAACAGCAUCAUCUCCUCACUACUAAUAAAAAGAUUCAAAACCUGGGACUCUGUAUUCAUUCUGCAUCUGGACCCUCUACUUCCUCAUUGGGAGACUAUUUUUCCCAAUAUGGACCAGUAAUAACAUCUUCUUGUUGACUAUCAACACAAAUACACUUCAAGGAUACACGCUCAGUCCACUGCUCUACUCUCUCUUCACUCAGGACUGUGGAGAAGCACAGCUCAAACAUCAUCUAUAAAUUUGCCCAUGACACUGUUCUUGACAGAAUCUCAGAUGGUGGUGAGGCGGCUUACAGGAAUGAGAUUGAUCAACUGGUUGACUGAUGUUUCAGCAACAACCUCACACCGUGUCAGCAAGACUAAGGAAAUGAGUGUGGGCUUCAGAAAGGGGAAGUCAGGAGAACACGAGUCCUCACUGGGUGAAAGGGUGAGCAGCUUCAAGUUCCUGGAUGUCAACAUCUCAGUGUAUCCAUCCUGGGCUCAACACAUUAAUGCAUUCACAAAGAAGCAAUACUCGUUGCUCUACUUCAUUAGAAGUUGGAAGAGAUUUGGUAUUUCAUGGAAGGCUCUUACAAAUUUCUGUGAUAUUAUGGUGGAGAUCAUAUUGACUGGUUACAUCACUGCCUGUUACAAAUGCCAAUGAACAGGAUCACAAGAGGAUGCAGAAGGUUAUAGAUUCAGCCAUCUCCAUCAUGGCUCAACCAUCCCCACCAAUGAAGUCAACGUCAAGAGGUGGUAUCUCAAGAAGGCAGCAACAAUCAAGAAAAAUACUUCAAGAAGGCACACUUACUUCUCAUUGUUACCACUAGGGAAGAGGUACAGGAGCUUGAGGAGUCACACGCAACCUUUUAGGAACACCUUCUUCCUAUCCACCAACAGCGGUGGCAAGGAAGCAUAGAGGUUUAGCGUAACAUUAUUACAGAGCGCCAGCAAGCUGGUUUCAAUUCUGCUGCUGCCUGUAAGGAGUUUGUAUGUUCUUCCUGUGACCGUGUAGGUUUCCUCCCACGUGCCAGAGACUUACGGGUUAGUAGGUUAGUUGGUCACAUGGGUGUAAUUGGGAGGGGUUGCUACUGUGCUGUACCUCUAAAUAAAAAAAUAAAAAAGUUUUCUGAAUGGUCCACAAACCAGUGAA